AGAAGUUUAUUCAGUUCACAGUUCUGGAGGCUGGUCAGUCCAAGGUCUACAAACUGGCAUCUGACAAGAGUCUUCACGGUGUGGCAUAACAUUUGAAUACUCUGAAGUGCCAACAUGCUAAUUUUCUUCACAGAGAGAUCCAAUUUACUGACAUCACUUCCAGGUUAGCAGGAGCAGACUGACACAGUAUUGCCUAUUUAAAUGGCUAGAGAACCACUGCAAACAGAACAGGAUCUUACAAACAGAUCAUUAGAUCAUUAGC